CCGAAAAUCGACAUCAUUGUGGCUAGGAGAUGACCUUGAGCCAUCAGUUUGAGUCGGGCCCUAGAUUGGGUCCAUUUGAGCCUAUGUUAUUUCUAUUCUAUUUCAUUAUUGGUUGCUUUUGUUUGAGUUGAUUUGGUUGUGCUUUUGUUAUUAUUUGAGUUGAUUUGAUUGUUGAGUCAAGUGAUUAAAUCAAUUGAUCAAUGUAAGACCUAAAUUAUAAAGGUCCAAUGUUGGAUGUGAUCAAUUGGUUUUAUGGUCUAAUGUUAGUAGGGUUAAUUGAUUUGAUGUAUGGCCCAAUGUGUUAGGGCUCAAUUAUUGUUUUGUUGGUCAAUUAUUUGACUUGAUGUAAAGCCUAUAUAAAGGCCAAUCCCUCGUGAAUUAGGAAAUUGAUGAUUGAAUGAAAACUCCUUUCUCUUUGGCUGCCACCUCCUCUCUUCUCUUCUCCCUUCUCCAUGUCGUGCGUGGCUUUUCUUCUCCCUUCUCCAUCUCUUCACGCUGUGUGGUGAUCCCCUCUUUCUUCUCUUCUCCCACGCCUCUUAACCUUCUUUCCUAUUUUGGUGUCUUCCUACUCCAACAAGGAAUCAAAUUUUUCUGCAUCGAAGGCGUCCCAUCAACAAGCAAUCCUAAUCCAAAUAGGAAUAGAAUCUUCCUCCAAGUGCCUCCAACUCCAAAGAGGUUUUCCUUGACCAACAAGGACUUUCAUUCUCCCACACGCCUUCCCCCCUGGUUUCGUCCUGUGAACCAUCUAAGAAGGACCCUUUGAUCAGCAAGGAAUUCCUCAUGCCACUGCAUCAUGCCAACCCAAUCCACUUCAAACUAGGAGUCCUAGUCUCCAAAGAAUUCCUCCUUCAUCCGCCCGCACAUGAUCUUUUCUUCCUUUAGAUCUGAGCCUUCCAUCUUCAGAUCUAACAUCAGCUCGCGCAUCAGCAGCAUCCCCUCCUCCGCGGGUCAUCAGCCAGCCAUCCAUCAUCUCACUGCAACCUUCAUCUUUGUCAUCGCUUGGGGAUCCACCAACGAAGGGUUCUGAAUCUCUUCUUCCCUACAGGCAAGGUUCCUCCUUCUGAAUUUGCUCACUGAUUUAUGUUCUAAGUUCUCUUGCAUGAAAUUUAUACCGUUGAAAACUUUGCUGCUAAAAUCUCAAAACUUAGAUUUAUUCAUUUCCACCCAUCCUACCAACCCUUUUAAAAUCUUUGUUAUUAAAUUAGCACACCCUAGCAACGGAAAGUUUCUCAACAUCCCACGAUCAGAUUACUUUUGGAUCAGAACAACCAUAAUACUCGUUUGUAACCUAAUCUCUUAAAUUGAUUAAUCUCAUACCUUAACUCCGAAUAACUGAAGUAAAAAUCAGCAACCAUUAAAUUUUAAGUUACUCUUGUGAACGCUUGCUGAUCUCUGAAAUCAUAGUAGGUUGCAUUGGUAGGUUGUCCUGCAUCAUAUCAAUGUAUUAUGAUAUAAUGUGAUAUAUAAUUAUAUUUAUAGUAUAAUACAAUAAUAAAAAUAUAAAAUAAUAUAAUUAUUAGCAUACAUUAUAUUUUCAUAAUACAACAAAUUUUCUAGCUAGGUGAUAAAAUUGGUUAAAUAAUUAUUAAAGAGACAUUUUGUGUAAUUAUUAUAUUUUAUCAUGGAUAUUUUGGUAAAGAAAAAAGCUUUCCAACCGAGCCUAAAAGUGUUUUGCCAGAAAUCUUCAAAAUAAAGCUUUUUCCAAAAGGCUAUUUUUAGCUUUCUAGAAAAACUAAAACAGCUUACCAAAAUUUUUACCUAACACUCAUAUUUUAUUGGAGGGCCCAAAAGCUCCCCAAACGGGGCCUAGCACCUGGGAUGUACAUAAAGGCAUAUACAUUAAAAAUCUGCAAAUUAUAAAUGAUUAUGAUCUAUUGAUCAUUUUCAUUAUCACUGAAAUUUGAUUUUAUAAAAAAGAUAAAUUUAAAUCUGUUGAGUUUUUCAAAAUAGUAAGAAUCUGUAUGAUAAAAAAAUAAUUUAUUUUUGAAAGGUAGAAGAAAAAAAGAAUUUGAUGGUUCAUUUUAAACCUGGGUUUUAUAUUAUGGAGUCUAACAUCAGCAUGGCCUGUCCUUUUUUGUGGGUCAUAUUAUGGAGUCUGUUGAGAUUUUCAAAGUAGUUAAAAUAUGUAUUAUAAAAAAAAAUUUAAUUUAUUUUUGAAAGCUAGUAUGCUUUUUUUUUUUCCUUAAGAACUUUUCUAAUUUGUGGGUCGUAAGCAACAAAAAUUCAUGGGCUUUUUUUUUCUUUAAGAAAUAAGUAAGGAACUAGAUGAUAUUGUUAAUCAGAACCAACUUAAGAACCGUAAAAUUGUUGAGAAAUGGACAAGUAGAAGAAACUUCAUUUGGAUCAUUCCGAUUGAUGAUCAGUUCAGGAAUACAUAACGUUCAUGGUUGGUAGAAUUUAUCAGAGGAACAUGCUAUGUGGGAUAGAGAGCUACAAGAAGCACCAUGUAUAGAGAGACAUGAUAAUGGAUUCCUGGUAAUGUAUUACUUGUGGUGAAAAGAUGCAAUAGAACUUUCAGUCUCCUGCCUUCUCUUCAACCGAAGAAUCAAACAAUGCAGAGGCUGGAACUGCUUUGGUGGUAGACUCUACUUUUCUGCUCUUCGAGGCCUCAAUUUGAUCUGCAAGUGAAUUUUUUCUUUGCAUUCUUUUCAUCUUGAUAUGUUUUAUAUCCCAUUUCUCAAUGAGUUGCUGAGGCUCAACUGUCUUCUUGCUUCGAAGA